AUUGAACGCUGGCGGCAUGCCUUACACAUGCAAGUCGAACGGCAGCACGGGAGCAAUCCUGGUGGCGAGUGGCGAACGGGUGAGUAAUAUAUCGGAACGUGCCCAGUCGUGGGGGAUAACGUAGCGAAAGCUACGCUAAUACCGCAUACGAUCUAUGGAUGAAAGCGGGGGAUCGCAAGACCUCGCGCGAUUGGAGCGGCCGAUAUCAGAUUAGGUAGUUGGUGAGGUAAAGGCUCACCAAGCCGACGAUCUGUAGCUGGUCUGAGAGGACGACCAGCCACACUGGGACUGAGACACGGCCCAGACUCCUACGGGAGGCAGCAGUGGGGGAAUUUUUGGACAAUGGGCGCAAGCCUGAUCCAGCAAUGCCGCGUGCAGGAUGAAGGCCUUCGGUGUAACUGCUUUGUACGGUAACGAAACGGUAGGAGAC
rnacentral:rRNA from 1 species